UCAUCCAGGUUCACUCCAUAACGGUGAGCCAGGUUCUUGAUGGCUCCAUUCUGCAUCACCAGGUCCAGCAUUUCGUACUUCUUGCAGUUCGCAUCAAGAGCUUCCUGCUGCUGCUUUGCCAGUUCCUUUUCCUCGUCCAAUAGAUUCGGAGACGGUUAAAACAGCAGCACCAUGUCAGUAUUUUCAUGUCUAAUUUUCAAAUGAAGAACAAAGUAACAGCAUCCACCAACUAUCAAUAUUGUAGUUAGGUGCAAACACAGUACUUGGACAUGCACCAAUCUGGCAAGUAUGCAUAUUUUUCAUAUAAUUUAAGGAUUUCCGAUUAAAGGAAUUAACAAACACCUAGUUUAUUGGACAAAUGUAUUAAAAAUAAACCACAUCCAUUUGUGCACAUAUACUACAGGCUGACAAACCAUACAUCACUCCGGAAGGAUAUUAUUUUCAUAUAGGCACGUAAGUUCCCCAAUUGUUCCAUUCUAGGAUUAUAAAUGAAAAAUACUAGGUCUCACUCUUUCAUGUUUAGCCUGAUGUUCUUAAGGUGGUAAUGCAAUUUGCAGUGACUUGCCGCCUUCUUAUCACCUAGGCUAUAAACGCAAUGUGGUAAGGCAAUUGAGGCGACAGCCAUACUCACAUAUAUUAGACAAUAAAAAUCAAAAUAGCUUACUAAAGCCCAAUCCAAGCAUCCCUUCCUGUGCCCUAGCCUCCCAAUGCCAUCCACAGCAUGUCACCUUUCUCCUUAGGCUUUGGGGACAACUUCCCCUAGCAAGCGCCUUGUCGCUUAAGUGACCACUAGGCGUGUUCAGUCUAACCAUUAAAAUAAAUAGAGCAAACAGUAAAACCAACUUUAAUGGUACACAAAGGAAUGGAUAUUAUUUCCAUAUAGAUUCGUCUCGCGAAUUAGCCUCCAUCUGUACAAUUAGUUUUUAUAAUUAGUCUACUUUUAAUACUCCUAAUUAGUAUCUAAGCUUCGAUGUGACAGGGACUAAACUUUAGUCCGUGGAACCAAACACCCCGACCCGAAGCAGUACCUGAGAUAACAGUAAGAUGAAGCAGUACCUGAUAACAGUAAGAAGAAGCAGAGUAGAGGCAGCAGAGCAAGUCUCAGCUUCUUCUCCAUUGUUGGGUUGUCGACACACAACACAACACAACACAACACAAACGCAAUCCUUGCUAGCAGUAACGACGUUUGUUUUGCUGUGCCCUUGGGAGAGGGUUUUGCUUGGCCUUAAUAGCAUGGCGAGGUCGGAAGAAUACGUGAGCUCGGUCGGUCGGGCAUGGCCAGACCAACACUGAUGGGCCACUUGUAAUUAACCAUUGCCUAUAUAUAGUGCCCAAGGGCAUGAGGGCAAGGGACUCUCACUCCUACUCAUUUCUCAAAACCCUAACGUGAUCCCUCUCCACCGCGGGCUCUCUCCCCUCUCGUGUGUUUCGAACCUCCGCCAUGGAGCCUUCUUCGCGGAGCCUCUGACAUGGAGUCUUCUCCACGGAGCCUUCGCAUGGAACAUUCAUCAUACCUCCGCAUAGAACCUUCUCCGCGGAGCCUCUACAAGGAACCUUCAUCGAGGAACCUUUGCAAGGAUCCUUCACAUGGAACCUUCGUCGGGGGACCUUCGCACGGAACCUUCGUCAGGGGACCUCCACAAGGAACCUUCGUCAAGGGACCUCCGCGCGGAAGCUUUGUCGGGGGACCUCCGUAUGGUGUCUUUGCUGAGGGAACUCCUCCAGCUAGCCUUCACCAAGGAGCAUUCUCCUCUCUACCUUGUUCGGGACCCUUGUCCCAACACUGAUAUUGAGGUAGCCGCACAUAAACCUAGUUUGCCAGGCCUAGAAACACAAUUGUUGAAGGCACAAACUAGUCUUUCUAAUAUCGAACAUGCAAGUGAGAGAGACAACAACCAUAUGCCAGUGCCUAAGGGGCUAGUGGAUCAGGCCUCGACGAGGAGUAUGGUGCAAAACUAUAUUGAGUAGAAGGUGCCGAUGCAGACUGAACAUUGUCAUGGGAGAUAUAAGGCGCUAGUUACAAGUGUUAGAUGCAUGAGAAGGUGGGAGGAGCAAAACCGCACAUGAUUGUUGUGUUGUGGCAGUGGUGGUGCUCGAGGAAGAUGGUGAAGGACACAAACAACGUGGCGGUGGCGGUGCUCGAGGAAGAUGGUGAAGGACACAAACAACGUGACCGCGAGUCCCGCCAUGCCACACACACAAAGAUGAUAAGUGUAUGUGUAGGUUGGUGGUUUGGGGUCACGCCGUUCCACGUCAUGGAAGAUGAUGGCCGGCGGAAGAAAACAUGCCUGGCGUGCGGGCAUCUUACGGACGCUUAUCCUCAACCUCGCAACUUGGACUUCGACCUCCCCCUCUCGCUCGUCUUCAACCUCACCUCCACCCAUCCCACCGCCAUCGGCCACGGCACCACCAGUGCCAACCUCUGCCGUCUCCCUCCCUAAUACGCGUCAGAGGAUUCACGGUUCGCCCCACUAGCCCACAGACCUCCUUCUUCUAAGGCCGCAGAUGCUCCUCCCCUAACCUAAAUCGGAGCAUAGGAGACGAGGGGCGUGCGGUGCUGGAGCUGAAGAAGGCAUGGACGAGUGUGGAGUCUGCCCCAUCAUAUCUAACAGCGCGUCGACACUCGUCCAUGCGUCGGUAGCGUCAGAUUAAGUCAUUUUGGACAAGGAAGGAUAUCGCGGAAUUACUACUAUACAGUCACACAUAAACUACGGUAUUAUAUCUGGUAUUCCUAAAUAUACUCUAACUCUAACAAGCCCAGUUCCAGUCACAUGUGUUCGAGCUCGACACUUGCUUGGCGUUGCUGGCCGACAAGGUAGCUGCAGCUGCUGUCCGUGCAAGGAGCCGUGACGUACUCACGAGAGCCUGAAAGCACGUCGACUGGUUGCCGCUCCUACACGGAAUGACAAAAUUUCCCAUGAUGCCCAGGUCCCGGUUCUGGGUAAAGGACCGGUCCAUACGCGCCAUGGACCGGCCAGCGGCGAGUCCGGCGAGCCGGGGCAGGCGGAGGGCUUGGUCCGUACUUGGCUCAAGAUGCUGUAGGUACAGUGCCCAUGUCGUGUCUCGUCUCGUCGUGGCUGCGUUUCAGGCCCAACAGAACAGAUAGACUGUCUGAAGCAGCCAGCCUAAACCCACUGCCAUCCGUCGAGGGCAACACAGAGCACCAGAAUGACUGGCACUGGCAGGUAGAUCGCAGUUUUCCUGGUCAGAUCGCAGGACAUCUUGAACGCUUCAAGAGUGGACCGGAGGACCAUGUCUGAAAUUCUGAAUCGAGAGAUGAUCAUCACCAUCCACAUCUAUGAUGCAGAUACGUGUCGGUGCGAAGGCACCAACUUCAUUCAUUGCUGCAUGCCAAAUGCUGUCUCCUCCUAGCCCCCCUAGGCCUUCCCCGCCCUACAACAGUGACCGGACGGAAGGCGACUCUGGCCUGGCGUCGACGCGUCGUCCUCAUGGUCCGGCAUCCAGCUCGGCCGGCCAGAAAGGCUCACAUAAGAUGCAGCAUCGUUGCAUCAUGUUGCAAGUAUGUCAUCCUAGGCAGAGCUGUAACUGAACCCAGCACACAAGAACACCUACUACAGACAGCACCACCCAUGGCACAAUACGUAUUGACAAAGGCCAACAACGAGACCAACUUUUUUUUUCGAGAAUACGCAGGAGAGCUGCGUACCUUUGUAUUAAAAAGAAUGAGUAGAAUUGUUACAACGCGGGUCUACCGGGCUCACGCACACGGUUUUGAAAUGUAGCUUGAGCUUACAUGGCAACUUAUUUACAUCCGUUUAAACACAAAGGUCAGGGUAAGAAACCACUAAGGUACCGUUGCUUCAGCGUCGUCCUGCUGUUGUCGCGGCCAUUGGAACAUUGCUAAGUGUUUGGCUCCUGCCGCGCACCAAUCAGCAGCUUGUUCUCAGAUUAGCUCAGUUAGUUGCAGAUGAUUCCUUUUGGGGGCUCUAUCAAAGUUUCUGUCGUUGCGCUGUUUCCAAAUUGUCCAGGAGAUCAACAUAAACAAGGAGUCCAUCCCUUUUCUUAGUGAUCUGCUCAUGGCUCGCCGCUUAUGCACCCAGUAGUCCGUUAAGGAGGUUGAUCAUACCGAUUUUUGCUCCCCCUGCAGAUUGCGCAUAGCGAAUGACAAGGAAACUACACUCAAUGCAACAUCAGUCCCAUUCGAGCUUCUCAAUGGACAGGAAAAGCAAAUCUUUCAGCUUAUUUUGCAUGUGGAUGUAUUAUUCACCUCAAGCUGGCAGACAAGAGAAGACUGUCGGCAUGGGUAACAUGCUGCAAGCAGACACCUCAGAGCUCUGCCUCCUUGUCUUCCUCACACUACACAUUACGGGAGACUUUGCAGUCAGGCACUCUUGAGAAACUGAGCAUGGUGCGCAGUGUGAUCGUCCACGAACGUAGCAAUGAAAUAGUAGGAAUGGUCAUAUCCAGGCUGCAUGCGCAAGAUCAGAGGAGCCCCGACAGCCUUGCACGCCUCCUCGAAGUUGCGAGGUAGUAACUGCUCCUCAGCUAAGAACUUGUCAGCAUCCCCCUAAACAAGGUUGUCAAUACGAGCAUAGCAGAUAAGAACUCCCACAGAAAUAACCCUUUUUACUUCUACUCUGAGAUAAACAAAAAACUACACAGUAGCAGCCUCAGGACUCAUCAGACAUUUAAUUUUCUCCAAACAGUGUUGUAACACCCAAAAUUUUGAAUAAUUCAAAUUCAUUAAAAUUGGCUCAAAUUAGGGUGUCAUUUAAAUUCUAGGCAUUUAAAUUCAUUUUCUUUAAUUUAAUUAAUUCAUCAUAGGAAUUAUUUGUGCAUUCAUGCUGGUGCAUUUAUUUUGAUUGCUUGAGUUUGAACCAAAUUUUGAAUUUCCAAAUUUAAAUUCAAAUUUCCAAAACCAUUUCCUUUUUUUCUCUUUCUCUUUCUUUUCUUCUCCUCCACCUGGGCCGCAUCCCUCCUUCUUCUUCUUUCUUCUUUCCUCCGGCCAGCCGCUCGGCCUGCUCCACCUUUCCUCUCUCCGGCCCAGCAUCUCCCGCGCGGCCCGCCGUUUCUCUCCCGCGCCCCGCGGCCCACGAACGCGCGCGCCGGCCCGCGUAGCCGCUUCGGCCUGCCUAUCGCCGCUACCGCCGACAGAUGGGGCCCGCCAUCAUCUCCCACCUCCGGCCGGACUCCUUCCGCAACCGCCGCGCCGCCGUCUCCGCCUCGGACUCCCUCCGCUCCGAAUCCUCCGGGGGAUUCAAACCCAGGGCGCCCUAUCUCCAAGCCCCUAUAUAAGCCGCCGCCACCUCCCGGUCUCCUCCGCCAACACCAGCGCCGCAGCUCCCCAAAACCCUAGCGCCCGAAGCUCCAAACACCGCCGCCGCUUCCCCGCCGUCUAGCGCCGCCGUCGGUGAGCUCCGGUCGACAAGAACCCCCAAAAUGAGUUCGUCGUGUUCCCCUCUCUCUUCUGGUGCAACCCGCGCGUUAAACCGUGCCCCGGAGCGCCGUUUCGGCCAACUCCGGCGACCCGCCGCCGCUCGCCGUCGCGCGCCGCCGCUCGCCGCCGCCGGCCGUCUCUUUUCCCGCCGCCGCCGCGAGUCAUCGACGACCGCGACCGUCGGAUCAAGAUCCGACGGCUCACGGCAAGUCAAUCCGGUCGCGUACCGGUCAACCGAGCCGCGCCGCGCCGCUUUCGCUCUUAAACCCCCGCCUUUUACGCAAAUCAACCCGCGGUCCAGAUCGCGUUGAAAGUAUUUACAGAUCUGCCCUCGCACUUUUCGGUUUAACCCUUGAGCUUUCCAGAAAUUAACCCGCCGUCUGGAUUUGAGAUUUUUACACGUCAGACCUUCGGUUUAUAUGCAUAAUUACGUAUAAGCCCUCGGUUUUCGCGGAUAGGCCCUAAAACUUUUAUUUUUCUCUCAGAAAAGUCCCUAGAUCUUGUUUUAAUCAUAUCUUUUGCAUCUUAACUCCGUUUUUCGCGUUCUUUAUACCCACGUGUUCGUUUUAAAGCGUAGAUCAACUUUUCAAGCUUGUUUUCUCUGUUUACCUAUGUUUGGUGUACUGUUUUCUUACUUUUGCCCAUGUUUGCUUGUAUGUGCUCGUGUGACGCGUGUAGACGUCCCGCAGUUCGAGGGAGUUGCAGAUCAAGCCUUCGAGGAGUACGAACAGCAGGAGCAAGGUCAAGAAGGCAAGUCGUGUCCUUGAUCACUACCUUUUUGUCCUAUACACCUUUACUUUCUCGUACUCAACAUUUAUGCUAUGCAUAUAUUAAGAUUAAAUUGAUGGGUCCCAAUUAAGGUUCGCCUAGAUUGAUUUACCUUUGCCUUGACCAACCGGUUUACUUUAAGUUGGGUAGCUCAUGCUUAGUGCUUACUUGGAACAUGGUGGUUUAACUACACAAUGCUUAAUCUUGCUUUACUUCUGUUAUACCUUUCAUUAAGACAAGAUCAUUAUUUGUUAAUCGGAACAUGGAGAACCACCCAGGAAAACAGUGCUACCACAAGACUAUAUGGCUCUGGUCUUGGCUGAAUAAUUAGAAACUCUAGUUUGGGGUAAUCUUACCGAAAGGGCAAGAGGGGAGGCGUUGAUGGGAUAUAGCACUCGCUCUCUUGGGAAGUGGGCUUGGCUAAGACACUAUGCCCUCUAGGGGACUGCUAUGUUUCGCUUCGACCUGAAACCUUAGCGGGUUACCACAUUGCUAGCGAAUCUUUGUAAAGGCCUCGUAGCGUCCCUAUGCAAUCACACCUCGGAAGUGUGGUAUGGUGCCUUGCAAACACCGCAUGGUUGGGUCCAAAGUUCUUUUGAACUUUUACGCGACUUGUGGGUAAAGAAGUGCCACCUCUGCAGAGUGUUAAACUGAUCGAUCAGCCGUGCUCACGGUUAAGAGCGGCCUGGACCCUCACAUGAUAAUAUUAUCGGAAGAUGGAUUUAACUUGUUAUCAUUUCAUGCAUAUAUUGUUUACUUUAUUUAUGAUCAUGUUUAAUUUCGGGUGGUAUGAACUUAUACUUAGUUAGUUGCUAAUAAAAUUUGACCAACUUAAUUAAAAGCGAAUGCUAAUUAUGCCUUAGCCAUACCUUGAUUUAGCCUUACACUACACUAUUCCCCACGACUUGUUGAGUACCAACCAUAAGUGUACUCACCCUUGCAAAACCGCUGUUCAGACCAAGCUAAUUGGGAAGAGGAGUAUCUACACGACUUUGAGGAGUUCUAGGCGUACGUUUCUUCAGUCAGCUGCCUGUGGAGUUGUCGUCGUCUUUGGAUUUCCGCUGCGUAAUAAUUAGACUUUGUGGUUUAUUUGAGAUAUUCGGUCAUGUAAUAAUGGUUAAUACUCUCUUUAUUCGAUUUAGCACUGUCUUUGUUAUUCACUAUGAUAGUUAUGAGAUCUAAAAUCUAUCGGAAACAGUUGAUAAGCUUGACCCACUCUACUCUUUAGGAGCCUAGACGACUAGACUUCUAACCAGUUCAAUCAAACACGACAUUUUAAAUUAAAUCAAUCCAUUCAGGCAGUAGGGAUCUAUGCUACUGUUAGUAACUGUUAAGUGACCCUGAUAGGCUCUGAAUAAUGCUCAUGUGUGGAGUCCUACAAAUGUUACGUGAAUAAGUAGAGGUCUCGUCGUUUGAUGAGCUAAUCCAACCCGCAGUGUAGAAGAUCAUCAAAAUAGCUGUACUCAAUCACAUGCAAAAGCGUAACAAAGAAAACGUGAACAGCCCAAUUGAAAAAAGUGUUCUAAGGUCCCCAUUUGCCAUCAACUUCCCACCUACCUAUUAUCCAGGAUGGCAACUCAAUAAUGUUGACACAAACAUCUGAGUAAAGCUACUUGAGUCAGAUUCAGUGGUACCUCAAAAAAAUCCAGCUAUAAUGCUAAGUAGAUUUUCAGAUGUCUCCUGGAUUUGUUCUGAUACGGGCUGGGUGGUCUGGGUGAGAUUUCAUUUUCAAGAAUGAGAGAUAUCAAAUGUAAGCACUAAAUGACUAGUCAACCCAUUUUUUUUAAAAAAAACAUGUGUGGAGAGGCAAGCAGGUGGUUUGGCCACACGGGCAUGUGCUUAAAAUCAUAUUUCCUCAUUUUCAAACAGCUAAUAGUUCCUUCCAUGUUUUCAAAAUAUAGGACAACAAACGAGCUUGGCUAGCAACAACGUGAUAGCAGAGACAGGACAUGAGUGAAUACAUGGCCAACACUGUACCUGGUCAAUUAGGAUAGGAGUGGAAACAGCAUUGUUGUUCUUUUUAAUCAGGCAGGUUGCGUCAUAUUCCUACGCAAAUCAGGCACUUGUAAGUAUCCAACAUGUCUCAGAGAUGAGUGAUUUCUAAAGAGGAGAAUACCUCCCAAUCUGAUUUAGUUGAGCCCAGGUAAUUUGAGAAUGCUUUCUGACCCCACGGGCAGUUUAUUGGAUUGGCAAUUGGAGCAAAUGCUGAUACUGACUGACAUAUAAGAUAAAACCCAAAAUUCAGGGUGAGAUCCAAUACAAAAUGUCAUGAACGAACUUGAAAAGGUUAUCUAGGCUAAAUAAAAUGGCAUGCUAAGAGUACCUUGUAUUUAUCAGUAUUUUUUAAGUAAAUUGUCAGCGCACCAUGCCCUCCCAUUGAGUGCCCAAAAAUUGAUGCCUGCGAAGUGUUAAGCUGUUCGAAGUUGCCACUUACAACUUCUGGAAGUUCCUUCACAACAUAGUCAUACAUGCGCCAAUUUUUCCACUUUUCAUUUGUGGCGUUCAAAUAAAACCCAGCACCUAGUAACAAAAAGAAAAUGUUAACAUAUCUGAAUGAGUGUGAAGAAAUAAAAUCAUCCAAACCUGCUAGUGUAUACCAAAUUCAAGUAGUGUUUCUGCAAUGUUCCAACAGUAAUGCUUUGACAGAAUGUAAUGGACCUCCCCUUACUACUAAAGCACCACUAUGAACUUUAAAAUCUUUCUUGACAAAUCCCCAAUAGGGGAGCAUGUAAGGUUACUCUGCCCUUUUGGAGAGGUGCCACUUUUUAAGUUGAACAACAUUUGAUAAGCAUUAGGUCUACAGAGUUCAAAAAAUGUGCCCACUAAUGUAACUCUGGUCCUUGCACUUAGGGUAGGAACCAGUUGCAUGCUGAACCUAUCAAAAGGAGUGAUAACACAAUCGAUUCUAAAUGGGCCUCUCAUUACACAUUGGAAUUUAGCAGUCAGCCAGACUAUGCAGGAAAACAAAUAAUCCUUGCCACUAGCGUUGCCACUUCUACCAUACUCCACUCAUCUACCAUGCUUAUGGUUGAAUGGCAUGGCAAGGAAGGGGGCCUCUAUUUAUAGGCCAAGGAAGUUCAUAGGAUAAGGACAUGUGUCCCCUUCUAGAGUUUUCACUAGACAAAUAUCUAUGUUCUACACUAUUCUAAUUUCUUCAUGGCAAAACAUCUAGCACCUUCAUGCAAAAUAUCAUGGAUCAUGAGUUGUGGGGAAGGCUCUAUAAGUUUGUAUUGCUUUCCUUCAAUACUCCCCAUCAAUGCAAACUUCUCUCCAUAGUUGUCUUGCACUAGCAGAUGGUGAUUUGUCAAGCAAGAUUUUAAAGUUCAUAGUGGUAUUCGUUCAUUGCACUACCACCUGCUAGUGAGUUUUCACUAUUAUUGGUCUAUUUAUGUAGCCUAACCAGCAAUUGUAUGGUAGAAUUUAGAGCCAUUUAUUCAUGUGAGGUAGCUCAUCCUUUGUUAUCUUCCAAUUAGUUUUAAUACCAGAAUUAUACUUUCUAUGACUUGUCAGGACUUGUAUUGACUUGGAUUCCCAAAAAUUGAUGUGAUAAAUACAAUGCUGCUGGUAUAUUAUAGAGCUCAAGGGACAAGGGUUUACUACCCGAAGUGUUGAUAUCUUACAGGCUUGUGUUAUUAGUAAUCCCACCACUGUAGCUCCUUUUUCUGGGAUUAGUACGAGCAAGACAAUCUUAUUACCAGAAGAGUCAAACACAUCCCUACAACACUUAGGGAUUGUAUUUUUUUCCUUUUCCCCAGCCUAAACAUAGUUGAUAGUUUAGAUUUUAGCAGCAGUUAGGAUUUUGGAGCAGUUACGGAAAGCUUUAUAUACAGGAGUUUGUUGAAAUGAUUUUAGGAGCAGUUAGGAUUUUGGAACAGUUACGGAAAGCUUUAUAUACGGGAGUUUGUUGAAAUGAUUUUAGGAGCAAUUACGGAAAGCUGGUGCGCAGCACAUGCAUGGUCCCCCAGGUAACGCCAACAUGUACGAUCUCAGUUUCUGUUCCGCUCAAGCAAAUGUUGCUGCUUGCGGCAAGUUGGGCACGGCGUUCACUUCACACAUCUCUCUAUCUCUGAUUUUAGGAGCAGUUAUGAUUUAGGAGCAGUUAUGGAAAGUUGGUACCCGCAGAUGGUACCUGCACGGAAAGCUGGUACCCGCACGGACUUUUUUGUUGCUGCUUACGGCGACACUUCACACAUCUCUCAUGCGCAGCACAUGCAUGGUCCCCCAGGCAACGCCAACACGUACGAUCUCAGUUUCAUGCGCAGCCCAUGCAGGUUCCCCCAAACAACGCCAACACGUACAAUCUCGGCUCCUCCAAUCCUCCUCCGAUCCUUGCAUCGCGUGUAUAUAUACAUGAUCAUCGAUACCAAUAUCCGGCUCAACCUAACGCAAUGCAGCUAUCAUCAAGAGACCGCGACUCGAACCCGAGACCUUUCGAUCACAGGCGGUAAGACUCCGCUUGCACCAGGCCCACUGAAGCUUAUAUAUGAUUGAUUAUAUACAUACUUAGUCCUAAUGUCAAUUCUUUUUUUUCAAAAAAAGGAAUAUAAUUGAAUUGACAUAGUCUCUAAUGCCAAUUCUUUUCUUCCUGCCUUUUGCAUGCAGCGACACCAUGUCGAAUGGAGAGCAGAAGAGCGAGAAGCUGCGAGGGUACGGUCACCUGUACAGCCUUAGCCUCGCCCAUUUCAAGUCGGCGGCGAUCAAGUGCGCCGUGGAGUUGGGCAUUCCAACUGCUAUCAAACGCUGCGGCAGGACGGCCACCAUCUCCGACCUCAUCAAGGAGAUCGGCCUCGUCCCGGCAAAGGCGCCAUACCUCAGCCGCCUCCUGCGCUUCCUUGCCUUCUUCGGGCUGUUCGAGGAGGACGAGGAGGAGUUUGCGUCAGCUAAAAGCAAGACGGUGUACAAGCUGACUCCGACGUCGCGGCUCCUCGUCCAGGAGGCCGACAACGAUUCGACGUGCGACAUGUCCCACAUGCUGCUGCUGUUCACGCGUCCCAGCACCACUGUGUCAACCUUCUUCGACGUUGAGCGUUGGAUCAGAGAUCCAACUAGUACCAAGACUGUUUUCGAGGCGGCUCAUGGUACGUCCACUUGGGUCUCACCCAGAGCGACGCGUCAUUUAACGAUGCCAUGAACAGAGCUAGCAUGGCGGAUAGCCGAUUCACCAUGGAGGUUGUGAUCAAAGAGGCCGGUGGGUAUUUCAAGGGCCUGAAGACUCUGACGGAUGUCGGUGGCGGCCACGGUGCAGCCACGGCUGCUAUCGUUGCAACCUUUCCAGACAUGCAGUGCACCGUGAUGGACCUCCAGCAAGUGGUCAACAGCGCACGUGAGUGCGGCGGGACGGUCAAGUUCGUGGUAGGCAAUAUGUUUGAGUCAAUUCCGCCAGCAGAUGCUGUUCUACUCAAGGUAGCCCUUUGUACUUUUCAAUACAGAAUGUAUACUCUCUAUCUUCACAUUGGUAACAUACUGUUAAGUGUUCAUCUCAGCUCGUCUUGCACUCCUGGGACGAUGCCUCAUGCAUCAAGAUACUCAAAUGCUGCAAGGAAGCGAUACCACCAAUGGGAGGAAAGGUGUUCAACAUCAACACCGUUCUUGGGCAUAGGGGGGAGACAAGCAAGCACGAAACUGAGGCGCAACUCUUACUUGAUCUUUACAUGAUGAGAGGCCACGGUUUCGAGAGGGAUGAGCGUCAGUGGAAGACGAUAUUCUUGGAGGUUGGAUUCGCCAACUACACGGUGAUCCCAUUACAAGAUCCCUUAGCUAUGAUUGUGCUUCAUCCAAGUCCAUUGGUGGUGGAGAUGACGGUGAAGGUGACCGGCACCGGUGGGGCCAAGGAGGACUCGUUCCUGUCCACUGACGAGGCUGAGGCAGCGCCAUGACCCAGGCCGGAGGCGAGUCAAGCCUCAAGCCAGCACCAACCUGAGCUCUGAUGUGUGUGUGGCCUAUCCGGCUGUCCGGUUGCGGCUGGACUAAUAAAUAAACAAACUCAGAUCCUCCAUCGUCUAAGGUUGUGUUGUCUUUGGGCUGUGGCAUUAUUAUUAUUGUUAUGUAUGCACGAUGAUGUACCUUGUACUUUGUUUUCUGUAAUUUGUCUUAAUAUAUAUAACCAGUAGGGGGACAUUUGCCCUCCCAUUUCAUCAAAAAAAAAAAAACUUAUUAGAGUCCCUACUAUUUGAUUUGUCGGUUAACCUUAUCUAUGGUGACCGUGUUGAAAGCUAAGAGGAGUGCCAUGCCAACCCUGUCGUCCUCAUCUGAAAGGCGAUUUGUUGAAAGCCAAGAGGAGUGUCAUGCCAACCCUGUCAUCCUCAUCUGAAAGGCGAUUUGUUGAGCCCCCAUUUUUGUAUGACUCUCUUUUCUGGUAGCGGAACAGAAGAGCUGCGGCGACGGUUUGAAUGCGAGAAAGGGAAAGGGAUACAUGUGCUAUACUUCCUCCAUCACAUAAAGAUCAUUUCCAUUCUUAAUUUUGUUUUUGUGCUUCUUCUUUUGCCGAGGCCCAUCUUGAAAGUAUUCAAGGGUACUCCGGUUGAAUGCUCUUUUUUUUUCGAAAAAGAUCUAUACAUAUAGUGUAGUAUAUAUGUACAUGUAUUGGGAAAAAAAUUGAAAAUGAAUGAAGGUAAAUAAGCGGCCACUCUUUACUUCUUUCCUAGUUUCCCUCCCCACCCUAUGGCCCAAUACGGUCCACCAGAGAGCUCUGCGUUCCCUCCAAACGUUCUCGUCACCCACUCACCCGGCCAAACCCAAUGCAGCGUGGGCGGUGGCGGCCGCCGGCCGGCGAGCCGGAGACCGAGGCCGGUGCCUUUAGCCGGCAGCUGCGGCCGGCGCGCACCACCACUGCGCGAGCGUGUUCUGCGCGGCCGAGCUGCCCAAGCACAUAGCCAAGUCAGGAGUACCUAUGUUACCGUGUAAGUGAAAUUGAGAAUUUGGAUGAAAAGUGCGAGUGAAAUUAGGAAGAAAAACAGGGAUAUUGCCAUUGAGGUCUCAUUGCCGUUAACUGUUUCAAUACUUAGGUUUUCGUUGUCUCAACCAUGAAGAGGAAAAAAUAGGGGAAUGUAGUAUCAUAUCCUCUAUAUGACUAUAUAUAUUGGGAUCAUAUGUUGCCACUUAUUUGCUAUGUUGAACUAUUGCUUUUUUUGUGUUAGACAAUUUUAAAUUAUGCUCAAAUUCUAUGAAUAAUAUGAAAUCAUGCUCAAUUAUGCGUUACAUAUUACCCCAAAUUCAGUUAUUAGUUUACUAAUGCAAUCACUCCACAUUAGUCUAUAUACUUUGUGAAACCACCUAAGGAUUAGUAGCAGCACUGCAGCAGUACUGUUUCUUAUCAUUCGUCAGGAAAAAGACAAAUCCACAUUACCCUAUUAAAAGUAGCGUUUCAGAGUUUCAUAUGAUAAUUGUUGAAUUCCUCGUGUGCAUAUAUUAGAUAUUUUUACCAAUUGCGGCAGCCAACUACCCAUAUAGCAAUAUGAUUGAAUAAGAUCAAGUAUUCCAUUAUUCAUUCAUAGCUGAUCAAGCAAUGCAAUGCAUGUAGACCUAUAAUUGCAUACGUUGCUAACUUAGAUGCACAAUAAUUGAGGGGAUAUUUAAGUUUUUUAUGAAUAUGUCAGAAGUGGUAUUUUAGUUCCAUAUAGGCAUGUAAGUUCCCCAAUUGUUCCAUUAUAGGAUUAUAAAUGAAAAACACUAGGCCCCACUCUUUCAUGUUUAGCCCGAUGUUCUUAAGGUGGUAAUGCAAUUUGCAGUGACUCGCCGCCUUCUUAUCACCUAGGCGAUAAACGCAAUGUGGUAAGGCAGUCGGGGCGACAGCCAUACUCACACAUAUUAGACAACAAAAAUCAAAAUAGCUUACUAAAGCCCAAUCCAAGCUACAACCCAUAAAGCAUCCCUUCCCGUGCCCUAGUCUCCCAAUGCCAUCCACAGCAUGUCACCUUUCUCCUUAAGAUUUGGGGACAACUUGCCCCUAGCAAGCGCCUUGUCGCUUAAGUGACCACUAGGCGUAUUCAGUCUAACCAUUGAAAUAAACAGAGCAAACAGUAAAACCAACUUUUAAUGGUACACAAAGGCAUAUCAACAUAACAUGCAUAAUUUUGCAGGACUUAAUGCGCUAGCAUAGCAAAGCUUGACAGACUGCAGUCACAAGGCAACUAACAAGUUUACCUUUAUGAGAGCCAUGUUCUCUGACUCUUGCUUCUUUGCAAGGUUUUUCAGUUUCUUCAUUGUCUCACACUCGUCAUCUCCUUGUUUUACCCAGCGGAACUCUUUCUUGAGGCCAGGGCAGGGAGGUCGAUCCCUGAACAUCUCAGCCUUUGCAUGGGUAGCUUUUACAGGCCUUGGCAUCCCACCAAUUAUGAAUGGGAAAUCAGUCAUCAACUCGACAGCAGCCUUGGCCUGCAUAUCAUCAUCCAGUUCUACCAAUGCAGCAGAAGGUACAUCAUAAGGGAUUGUGUAGUUGACGAUGAACUCCACAUUGACAACAUUUGCACACUGGGCAAGAGCUGCUUUGAUGACUGGGGUGGUAACUUGUGGAGAAAGCUGGUCCAAAUAUAUGGUCCUCCUAACCUUCUCCUUGAAAUCAGCAUAGUCCUUGGAAGCCUGUUCUUUUGAUGCCUCCAUAGAAGGUCAACCUGUGCAGGAAUAAGAAUAAGGUUCAAUGCUUACUUGCCCCAAUUUGUAAUUAUUUUGUGCAAGGAGUACACAAGGAUUUAGGAGAACACAUCACAGGAUUUAGAGUUGAAAAAAAAUAAAAGGUGACAUAUACAAAUACAUAUAAUUGAUCUUGUUUGUGUCACUUACAUAUCAAAUCUGUUUAUCUCUUGGCCAUUAGGUACAAAGAAGCAUCCCAGUUAUCAUUCUAAGGGCCGCAACAGAACAAGAGCGUCCUUUGAUUUUGCAAACAGAAAGAAAAAGGUGGUAAAAUCAAGAACUAAUUGGAUGUAUUAGAUUAGAUUCGCAGGGCACAUUCACAUGAAUCAAAAGCAGACUCGAAAAACAAUGAAUUCAUCUUAGGAAAGAAGGUCAGUUAGGGUUACUCACCAGGACAGGAAAGGAUCAAAGGAUGAAAGGAAUAAGGAUAACACUUAGGGUAGGAACCAGUUUCGUGCUGAACCUAUCAAAAGGAGUGAUAACACAAUCGAUUCUAAAUGGGCCUCUCAUUACACAUUGGAAUUUAGCAGUCAGCUAGACUAUGCAGGCAAACAAAUAAUCCCUGCCUCUAGCGAGAUUACGAUUCUCAAAGCACCAGACUGAGCCUCCACAUUUUCUAAAAAAAAUAAGGAAGGAAAUCGUAACUCGUAAGCAUCCUGUUCUACGACCGCGCCACGCUUCUGGACCGGACACAUAGAUGGGCAGGCAUAAACCCUAGAAACAUAACUCUGUCAGCCAGAGGGAGCAGGGGAUUCAAUUUUGACAUACGUGGGGAGGUGUCAGGCACGACGAGGGCGAUGCCGUGGGCGGCGGCGGCGCGCUGGGCGCCGGACUUCAUGAUGAAAUUCUCGUCGUUGCAGGUGAGGCCCGAGAGCCAGUACAGCACCUGCAAAGCAUCAAUACGACACCGCGUCACAUUCCGCGGCACAGAUUAGCCCAGAGAGAGAGAGCGGGAGGACAGGGGAGCGCGGGCGGCGGCGCACUCACGGGUAUGUUGGACGCCGGGGACGGGGGCAUGUAGAUGGAGAAGGUCAUGGCGCAGCCGAGGGUGGCGCCACGAGACGCGUUCACCAAACCCUCGUGGCGCAGAGUCCGUCCGUGUCGCUGGAACUAACCCGAGCGUUGUCAUAUCCAGGAGCCGAGCCGCGUCGGAGCCGAGCCGCUGGACCAGACGCGCGAUUGCUUCCGUUGGAUUUGAAGCGGCCGACGCGUGGAGGCCGAGCGGACGGGUGUGCACCGGAUGCAUGGGUUCGCUGGAACAGGGCCCCCAAAUUGGAGAGGAGCCCACCAACCAGAAUGAUUUUUAUAGGCAGCGCAGGGCCAGGUGCCAGGUCUCGCAGAACGUCAGCCGCCGCCAGUACGUACUCCAUCGGCCUCCUGAUCCCAUCGACCACGCGCCGCCGAUGGCUUCUUCGCCGACGACGGUGAGGGAGGUGGCGAGCGAGGGAGUGGCUGCGCCCACGGCGCCGGAGGCGGCGAGACAAGGGGAGGUGAAGCGGUCUUCGCCGACCGCAUGGGAGACGGCCAUGCUGCCGCUCAGCAUGGUCGCCGUUCAGGUGAUCGUCGUGGGGAUGUUGCUGCUCUCGAAGCUCACUCUCAGUGCUGGAAUGAGCCCCUUCGUCAUCCUUGUGUACCGCAACAUGAUCGCCGCAGCCGCCGUCGCCCCUCUCGCCGUCUACUUCGAGAGGUACGUGUUCCUUUCUCUUUUCUUUUCUUUUUUUCCUCGCCCACCUUGAAAGUAUUCAAGGGUAUUCAUUCAGUUGAAUACCUUUUUUUGCGAAAAAGAUCUAAUCAUAUAAAUUGUGGUAUACUUCCUCCGUCACAUAAAGAUCAUUUCCAGUCUUAAUUUUGUUUUUGUUUUUGUUUUUGUGCUUCUUCUUUUGCCGAGGCGGCGAGGCCCAUCUUGAAAGUAUUCAAGGGUAUUCCGGUUGAGUGCUCUUUUUUUUUGCGAAAAGUCACAGGCUCGACUCGACGAGAAAAUCCAUCAGGCGGCUUUGCGUCUAGAGGAUCCAGAUGUGGGAGGAGGACGAGAUCAGGGCGGCAAUCAGAUCCUGAUGGCGUCCCCUUCCUGGCCAUACUCGCCACAAAUACUCCCUUGGCUGCACUAUCCCUUAAACCCAUCAAUGCCGAUGUGCAAUCCCACAACAGCCCAAACCAUAUAUAAGUCUCAGCUACUGCCCAAAUUCUUGCCAGCCUCUACCUCAUUAAACCACAGUUGCAAACAUUGGGUAGAUUGAAAGACCUCACAGGAGUCCACUCUGGUUGACACAUGUUGCUAAGUGUGAGAUCUGGCUACGCAUGGGCAUGCAUGGGUGGCACCAAGAUUACUUUUUCCAAAAGGUUACCAAGAGCUUUGUCAGCUCUUGUCGAAAGUAUAUUAGAAGAAGAAGAGAAAGAGGUCAAACGCUCCAGGCUCUCUUCCUGGCAUUCUACAUUGAAUCUAAGUUACCAAAUUUUUCACUUGAAUCUAUACUCUAUAUGUUGUAUGCUGGACAAUAUAAUUACCAUGAACCGUAUUUUCUUUUGGUAGCUAAUUAAAGUUGACACCUCAGUUGUAAAUUAUUAGCACAGGGCCUACAAUAGUUAGGGACUCAUAAUUUAUUUCAUGUUUUUGUUGCAGGGAAAUUUGGAAAGAGAUAAACUGGUCUGUAUGCUGCUGGAUUUUUGCAAAUGCUGCGUUUGGGUGAGCACUCGAACUCAUCAGUAAUGUUUUCUGAACUCAGCUUGUUAGUCCGUACGGUUGUAUGUAUAUUCUCUGUUAUACUUUAUACAAUUUCCUUAGGAAACCGAACCAGUUUCAUUAGUAGCUGAUAUAACUAGUACAUUACAAGGACGCAGUGCAUCUCUUUCAAGCGUGUACAUACCUUGUUUCUUGCCUCUAAUAUUGCAGAGACGUCCUGGCAAUGGGCCUGUAUUUCUACGGGCUGCGGACGACCAGCGCUGCUUACUCUUCUAUCUUCCUCAACCUGAUCCCAAUUGCCACCUUCGUCACUGCGAUAGUGCUACGGUAUGUAUGAUCAAUAAUUCUCAACGUGAUACACAGUGUGAUUGCGUUUAACGUGUCUGUGUGUUGAUCUCCGUUUAGGGCUGAGAAUCUAGCACUGGGACAGUGGCCAGGAAAGAUGAAGCUGCUUGGCGCGCUGCUCUGCGUCGGCGGAACCAUGCUGGUAAGCCUGCUGAAAGGCCCGCCGCUGCAUCUUUGGCCCACCAACCUGCUCGGGUACUCCCAGGCACCUGCAGCCAACGCGACGGGUGCUCACCACAACAUGGUGGUAGGUACCCUCUGGUUGUGUGGCAGCUGCAUGAGCUAUGCACUCUACUUCAUCGUCCAGGUAAUACAAACCGCUACAGUCUUUUUCCUUAUUACCAUUUGGACGGCUAAAAAAAAAACCUAUCAGGAAAGGCUUGUGAAGGUGUUCCCGUCAACCUAUUGGAUGACGUCGCUCACGUCGCUGGUGGGGAGUAUUCAGGCCUUGGUGGUGGGUGUGUUCCUCGUCCGUGACAGAGCGGAAUGGAAGCUCCACUGGAACCUGGAGCUGCUGACUGUCGUGUAUUCGGUACGAGCUGGUCUAUUCGGUAUCUCGUACCUUAAUUAUUACAGAGUUUUAACCCCUUUUUUUUGUGAUGAUCAGGGUGUACUCAACACCGGCCUCGCGUUUCUGCUGCUCUCGUGGGUGAUCCGCCGGAGUGGACCCAUCUACCCGACCAUGUUCAACUCAGUUUGCUUGGUUAUGACCACUGUUCUCGACUCGGUCCUCCUUGGCACCCAGAUCUACCUUGGGAGGUGAGCAGCGAGUCUACUAGCUCUCUACACACGACUGUUUGAUCAUGAAUUUUAGCAACACUUAUAUCUGCAUGUGCAGCGUUCUCGGGACAGUCAUAAUCGUGGUGGGAAUGUAUGCGUUCCUUUGGGGCAAGGGUACCGAGCUCAAGCGCGCCGCGAUGGCGAAGGCAUCACCGACCCAGGAGGCGUAGCAGGACCAGCUGAAAGGUGGACUAGGAGUAGGAUAAUACCCGUAGUCUUUGCCGCUUGUCAUGGUUGAUACAGUAACGUAUUGUAUGAGUUGCUGUAAACUGAUUGGAGACCAAGCACCCGGUGGUUACUCUUCCUUGCCCGUAGGUUGGACUUCUUCUCGAUACUGUACCUCCUUGUGUUAAGUGGAAUCUCAAGAAAUAAUGGGCGCAUAUAUGCCAGAGCCCAGAGGAAUUGGGCACAACAACUCCGAGCAUUGUUAUUGGAAAACAUUCAGUUUGAUGUAGGCAAGGAUGGAAGCAGAGCAUUGUUAUUGGAAAGCUCUUGGUAAGCUGUUUGGUUCCAGGAGAAUUUCUUUGUUCACAGUUCACACUAUAUGUAUACACACACCUGAUUUUUCUAGGAAGGUAAGAACGCUAGAACGGUAUGUAGGGGCAAAACUGGCCAUGUGUAUCCAGGAUUGUCUAGUGAUUGCAAUGUGCUCCGUUCAAGGUGGAUGUAGUGAAGUUCAGCUGUAGCCCUGCUAAUGGGGCUGAGCCCGCCCCUACCGCAGCAGCCGAGAUAAUGGAUGCUCGGAAGAAUACGUGAGCUCGGUCGGUCGGUCGGAAGCUAGGUAAACCACAUUUGCUUCCGUUGCGACGCUGGCUUGCAGAGUUAAGUCUUCUUCUCCAACCCAGGGAGGAGGUCUCCCUUCCUUUCCUUGUCCCAGAUUCCAUUCCAUUCCUUCCUAUCUUUCCUUCCAUCCUUCCUGUUUCUCCUUCUCUUGCAAACAUGCUGGCCAAGCCACCUCACCUGUGUGCCAACUAAGGUCUUAAAUCUCCGAGUAUAGCUGUCGAGCUAUAGCCGGGUAUAGCUGUUUGAGGCUCAUCAAACUAUUUGUGUUUAUGUACAACUUAGCGGCUAUAACCUCAUUUAACUCCGCUAUAACUGUUUUAAAGGUCAUCCGCUAAAUAGUUUUAGCCGGAGAUUUAAAACCUUGGUGCCAACACAUCGUAGCAUGUACUUUCUUUUCGUACCCGCGUUAGGACUUAGGCACUUCACCUGCUCAGUACCACAACCUGCAUCCCUCAAACAUGAUACGAUGCUCAAACAAUACAAACCGAAAUAACCUUGCAGGCUUGGGCACAAGAAAUAAAAAGUACUAGAGUUUCAUGCAGCAAUAAUGUAUGCACGAGAAGCAUCACACAACAGCAGAUGCUUUCAGUUUCAGCACCAUGUUAUUACAGGCUAAGAAACAAAAGGCUAAGGCUGCAGUUAUCGGAUUUCUAAUGCAGCAACUGCUCGUACGCUAACUAAGCAGGGCCAAUUGUUACGCCCCAGGAUCCAGCUACUGGAUCCCGACUCGUCGAAUUCAUCGCACCAUCUACCAGCGCCCCCCCAGGACAAACUGAUGACUGCACGGCUGCUCCAUGAAUUUGUCCCGUCAGUCAUCCAGGUUCACUCCGUAGCGGUGAGCCAGGUUCUUGAUGGCUCCAUUCUGCAUCACCAGGUCCAGCAUUUCGUACUUCUUGCAGUUCGC
rnacentral:lncRNA from 1 species